rnacentral:rRNA from 1 species
AACGAACGCUGGCGGUAGGCCUAACACAUGCAAGUCGAGCGAGGACUUAGGUCCUAGCGGCUGACGGGUGAGUAACGCGUGGGAACGUGCCCUUUGCCUCGGAAUAGCCCUGUUUAACUGGGAGUAAUACCGGAUGACCCCUUUGGGGGAAAGAUUCAUCGUCCAAGUAACGGCACGCGUUGGAUUAGGCUUGUGGUGGGGUAAUGGCCUACCAAGCCGACGAUCCUUAGCUGGUUUGAGAGGAAGAUCAGCCACACUGGGACUGAGACACGGCACAGACUCCUACGGGAGGCAGCAGUGGGGAAUCUUAGACAAUGGGGGAAACCCUGAUCUAGCCAUGCCGCGUGAGCGAUGAAGGCCUUAGGGUUGUAAAGCACUUUCAGCUGGGAAGAUAAUGACGGUACCAGCAGAAGAAGCCCCGGCUAACUCCGUG